rnacentral:lncRNA from 1 species
UCGAACCCGCGACGUGGUGGACAGAGAGACGGACGGACGGAGUGACGGCGAAUCGGCCUAAGGCCUCCGCUUUCCUACUUCGUAGGACCUACGGCGAUCAAGAACACUAGCGGCUUCUGUUCUAGAUAGUUCUAGUCCUACAUUUAAAUUCCUCGCAACCGUAUUGAAUUGCUCGUGGCUCAUCACAUGCGCAAAGCCAGGCUGCGUGGGACAGGGGUUUACACUGGAAGUACUCGCUGUACUGGUCAGACAUACAGGAGGUAUGGCUCAUGAUGGCUGGCAGUAUAUAGGCCUGAUCUGAAGCAGACUGCAGCCAUCCCCCCAGUGUAUGUGUAUGUAUUAGCUGGCCACCAAAAAGGCCUCUCGAGAUGCUGGGAAGACAUGCACUCCAGCAUGUAUAUGUAUGUAUGUAUGGUGUGGGUGCUGUACUGUACAACAGCUUUUACACUCCUUGCCCUCGCUCUGAAGGUGUCUGUCUUAGGCCCUCACCGGUGUGUCCCCACCACACCAGCUUGCAAUUGUCCCUACCUAGUCCUACCCUUUGGGCAGUAGAGUUGCCAGUCCAUGUCAUAUCAGCAGUGCCUCUUCACAUGUGUCCAGCCUUCUUUUCAGGUUGUCCA